rnacentral:rRNA from 1 species
UUAAGUGAAUAAGGGCGCACGGUGGAUGCCUUGGCACUAGGAGCCGAUGAAGGACGGGACUAACACCGAUAUGCUUUGGGGAGCUGUAAGUAAGCUAUGAUCCAGAGAUUUCCGAAUGGGGGAACCCAAUAUCUUUUAUAGGAUAUUACUUUUCAGUGAAUACAUAGCUGAUUAGAGGUAGACGCAGAGAACUGAAACAUCUUAGUACCUGCAGGAAGAGAAAGAAAAUUCGAUUCCCUGAGUAGCGGCGAGCGAAACGGGAAGAGCCCAAACCAACAAGCUUGCUUGUUGGGGUUGUAGGACUCCGAUAUGGUAGUCUGUUAGUAUAGUUGAAGGAUUUGGAAAAUUCCGCUAAAGAGGGUGAAAGCCCCGUAGACGAAAUGCUGACAACACCUAGGAGGAUCCUGAGUACGGCGGAACACGAGAAAUUCCGUCGGAAUCCGCGGGGACCAUCCCGCAAGGCUAAAUACUCCCUAGUGACCGAUAGUGAACCAGUACCGUGAGGGAAAGGUGAAAAGCACCCCGGAAGGGGAGUGAAAUAGAUCCUGAAACCGUGUGCCUACAACAAGUCAAAGCUCGUUAAUGAGUGAUGGCGUGCCUUUUGUAGAAUGAACCGGCGAGUUACGAUUGCAUGCGAGGUUAAGUCGAAGAGACGGAGCCGCAGCGAAAGCGAGUCUGAAUAGGGCGAAUGAGUAUGUAGUCGUAGACCCGAAACCAUGUGAUCUACCCAUGUCCAGGUUGAAGGUGCGGUAAAACGCACUGGAGGACCGAACCCACGUACGUUGAAAAGUGCGGGGAUGAGGUGUGGGUAGCGGAGAAAUUCCAAACGAACUUGGAGAUAGCUGGUUCUCUCCGAAAUAGCUUUAGGGCUAGCCUCGGAAUUGAGAAUGAUGGAGGUAGAGCACUGUUUGGACUAGGGGCCCAUCUCGGGUUACCGAAUUCAGAUAAACUCCGAAUGCCAUUCAUUUAUAUCCGGGAGUCAGACUGCGAGUGAUAAGAUCCGUAGUCGAAAGGGAAACAGCCCAGACCACCAGCUAAGGUCCCAAAAUAUAUGUUAAGUGGAAAAGGAUGUGGGGUUGCACAGACAACUAGGAUGUUGGCUUAGAAGCAGCCACCAUUUAAAGAGUGCGUAAUAGCUCACUAGUCGAGUGACCCUGCGCCGAAAAUGUACCGGGGCUAAACAUAUUACCGAAGCUGUGGACUACACCAUUAGGUGUAGUGGUAGGAGAGCGUUCUAAGGGCGUUGAAGGUCGAUCGUGAGGACGGCUGGAGCGCUUAGAAGUGAGAAUGCCGGUAUGAGUAGCGAAAGACAGGUGAGAAUCCUGUCCACCGUAUGACUAAGGUUUCCUGGUGAAGGCUCGUCCGCCCAGGGUUAGUCGGGACCUAAGCCGAGGCCGAUAGGCGUAGGCGAUGGACAACAGGUUGAUAUUCCUGUACCAGUUGUUUUUGUUUGAGCAAUGGAGGGACGCAGUAGGCUAAGGAAUGCAUGCGAUUGGAAGUGCAUGUCCAAGCAAUGAGUCUUGAGUAGAGUUAAAUGCUUUACUCUCUAAGGACAAGUUGUGACGGGGAGCGAAAUAAUAGUAGCGAAGUUCCUGAUGUCACACUGCCAAGAAAAGCUUCUAGUGAGAAAACAACUGCCCGUACCGUAAACCGACACAGGUAGUCGAGGAGAGUAUCCUAAGGUGAGCGAGCGAACUCUCGUUAAGGAACUCGGCAAAAUGACCCCGUAACUUCGGGAGAAGGGGUGCUGACUUCGGUCAGCCGCAGUGAAUAGGCCCAAGCGACUGUUUAUCAAAAACACAGGUCUCUGCAAAAUCGUAAGAUGAAGUAUAGGGGCUGACGCCUGCCCGGUGCUGGAAGGUUAAGAGGAUGGGUUAGCUUCGGCGAAGCUCAGAAUUGAAGCCCCAGUAAACGGCGGCCGUAACUAUAACGGUCCUAAGGUAGCGAAAUUCCUUGUCGGGUAAGUUCCGACCCGCACGAAAGGCGUAACGAUUUGGGCACUGUCUCAACGAGAGACUCGGUGAAAUUUUAGUACCUGUGAAGAUGCAGGUUACCCGCGACAGGACGGAAAGACCCCAUGGAGCUUUACUGUAGUUUGAUAUUGAGUGUUUGUACCACAUGUACAGGAUAGGUAGGAGCCGAUGAGACCGGAACGCUAGUUUCGGAGGAGGCGCUGGUGGGAUACUACCCUUGUGUUAUGAACCCUCUAACCCGCACCACUAAUCGUGGUGGGAGACAGUGUCAGAUGGGCAGUUUGACUGGGGCGGUCGCCUCCUAAAAGGUAACGGAGGCGCCCAAAGGUUCCCUCAGAAUGGUUGGAAAUCAUUCGAAGAGUGUAAAGGCAGAAGGGAGCUUGACUGCGAGACCUACAAGUCGAGCAGGGACGAAAGUCGGGCUUAGUGAUCCGGUGGUUCCGCAUGGAAGGGCCAUCGCUCAACGGAUAAAAGCUACCCUGGGGAUAACAGGCUUAUCUCCCCCAAGAGUCCACAUCGACGGGGAGGUUUGGCACCUCGAUGUCGGCUCGUCGC